GGGGAUGUGGCUCAAGCGGUAGCGCGCUCACCUGGUCUGUGUGUGGCCUGGGUUCGAUCCUCAGCACCACA
rnacentral:tRNA from 1 species